UACGUAGGGUGCAAGCGUUGUCCGGAAUUAUUGGGCGUAAAGAGCUCGUAGGCGGUUUGUCGCGUCGGCUGUGAAAUCUCGGGGCUUAACCCCGAGCCUGCAGUCGAUACGGGCAGACUUGAGUUCGGUAGGGGAGACUGGAAUUCCUGGUGUAGCGGUGAAAUGCGCAGAUAUCAGGAGGAACACCGGUGGCGAAGGCGGGUCUCUGGGCCGAAACUGACGCUGAGGAGCGAAAGCGUGGGGAGCGAACAGG
rnacentral:rRNA from 1 species